rnacentral:rRNA from 1 species
CUAACACAUGCAAGUCGAACGGCAGCACAGCAGAGCUUGCUCUGUGGGUGGCGAGUGGCGGACGGGUGAGUAAUGCAUCGGGAUCUACCUCAACGUGGGGGAUAACGUAGGGAAACUUACGCUAAUACCGCAUACGUCCUAAGGGAGAAAGCGGGGGACCGUAAGGCCUCGCGCGGUGAGACGAACCGAUGUUCGAUUAGCUAGUUGGUAAGGUAAUGGCUUACCAAGGCGACGAUCGAUAGCUGGUCUGAGAGGAUGAUCAGCCACACUGGAACUGAGACACGGUCCAGACUCCUACGGGAGGCAGCAGUGGGGAAUAUUGGACAAUGGGCGCAAGCCUGAUCCAGCAAUGCCGCGUGUGUGAAGAAGGCUUCGGGUUGUAAAGCACUUUUAUCAGGAACGAAAUACCACGGGUUAAUAACCUAUGGGGCUGACGGUACCUGAGGAAUAAGCACCGGCUAACUUCGUGCCAGCAGCCGCGGUAAUACGAAGGGUGCAAGCGUUAAUCGGAAUUACUGGGCGUAAAGGGUGCGUAGGCGGUUAGUUAAGUCUGUCGUGAAAUCCCCGGGCUCAACCUGGGAAUGGCGAUGGAUACUGGCUGGCUAGAGUGUGUCAGAG